rnacentral:rRNA from 1 species
UACGUAGGGGCUAGCGUUGUCCGGAUUUAUUGGGCGUAAAGAGCGUGUAGGCGGCCAGGUAGGUCUGCUGUGAAACUCGAGGCUCAACCUCGAGACGUCGGCGGAAACCAUCUGGCUAGAGUCCGGAAGAGGAGAGUGGAAUUCCUGGUGUAGCGGUGAAAUGCGCAGAUAUCAGGAAGAACACCCGUGGCGAAGGCGGCUCUCUGGGACGGUACUGACGCUGAGACGCGAAAGCGUGGGGAGCGAACAGG